CUCUUGAAGCCCUUUUUGGUACUGGAAGGUGCUGUAAGAUCUGCCCAGAGUCUCCUCUUUGCUGGUUAUUUUGACAUGCUUACAGUCCAGCUGCCUUUUCCCCCUGGACUGGCUUUCCAUCAGGAAGCAGGCACACAGGAAGAUCCAUCAGCCAGCUUUUGCCUCCCGAGUUCUGUUCCCUGGGAAGCAUACAAAGGCCCAGGUUUCAGCAAUUAAGGCAUUCAGAGCUGGUGUUGUAUUUCACCACGAUUCUUGCUCCUGAAGGACUUUGGGCAGCCCUUUGGCCUUCCUCCCUUGCAUAAGCAGAACCAUGCAAGAACAACAGGAACUUGAGAACCUGCACAGGACAGGCUCCUUCAGUCUGAGCUCUCUGGAACAUCAAAAGCCACACGGUGACAUUGACCACAGGACAGACAGACAGACAGGAAAUUCCACCAACCACAGUGGCUGCUGGCAUGAGGUUGUGCUCCUGCCCCCUCAGCAGAUUCCUUCCUGCCUGUUGCUGAUUCACCACCAGCUGCUCACAUCUUCGUGCACUGCCCUGCCUGGUGGGCCUGCAACAAAAUUGGCAAGUACUGGCAGAACCUGGUGGUAUGUGAUGUUUGCCAACAAGUGGGCAUUAGCUGUGUCUGAAUGGGGUCAGACCUCACACCACAGGGGAUGCUCACUGGGUAUGAAACUGCACAAGGCUUCAACCAAAGAAGCCAAAGGAAAAGCACUGCAAGCAGAGUGUGACUGAUCUCAGCAUCCUUUUCAGCCCCCCUUGUGUACCUGAAGAAGAACCAGAGCACAGAAGGCUGUGUAGCUGCCUCUGGAGGGGAAAUGCCAGCAGUGCUGUGUGAAGAUUGUAUCGUGGUGUUUCUCAUUGCUCGUUUAAUGUGGAUGAAUGCAAGGGAAAGGAGCUGGAGGAUUGAUGGGAAGACAAGCAAACUCCUCAAGAGGCUGUGCUGAAAUGACAUGCAAAAAUGACUAACUGGCCAAGGGAUUGUGUUGUGCAGGAUUUAUUUUCCUGUUUAUGAGAAGGGGAUCAGUGUAGGAAUCCUCUACAUGAAAUAAUUUCAGAUUUUUUUUUCUGUAAGGUGUUUCCUAGAUCAAUAUUAAUGCCUCCAUGCUGAAGGAGAAGUUGGAGUUUAUGCUGCCUCAUGCAGAGAAAAUGUGAGGAGCCCAGGUAACCUUCUAUUACUGCAGGUAGGGAAAGGGAGGCGUGGUAAGAAAUGUAAUGCUGGGGUAGCAGGAACACAAGCUGGACCAGGCAUUAGAGGCUUGGUAAGGAGGGAAAUGAGCUCAAUGCAUAGAAAACACACACUUUCCCAGAGCAGUACAACUUCUCACAGUAUGGUAUUAUGUAAGUUCCUACCUCAGCCUAAAUUCCCUUUCCAGGCAGGAGCCAGGGUGAGGACAUGGCUUCAGAAAUGCAAAUGGAACCACAGAAAGUGGCUGAGGAUUCCCAGCUUCAGUUCCUAAACACAGGGACAUCACUUUCAGAAACACCAGGAAGCUGGACUGCCUUGUUUCCAGUGCCCAGUUCUCCCUGAUAUAUUCAAUAGGAAUCUAAAGGAACCUCACUUAUUUAUGUGAAAGGGACUUUGUUGGUUGCUGACUUGCAAUGGGACAUGUGACACAGGCCUGAAGCAAAUCAGUAAACACAGAAAUUUUCUCUUGAGAAGGAAAGGGUGGGGCAGAGGACAUGGUAAUUACAUGCUCUCAAUGAGUUCUGCUUUUCUUUGUUUGCCCAAAGCAGCUUUGGAGAAAGCAUUCCUAAUUGUGUAUUUCUCAUUUGCACUGCCUUUUCGUUCCCCUCAAAAAAUAUUCCCUUUAAGAAGGUUUGUCAUUCUUUGCAUGGAAUCCAACAGCAGUGGGGGGAUAACAGAAUAGGUGAUGGAUGAUGAUCUGGGAUGCUCUCCUGGAAACCCUGACUUGUGUUAAUACCAGCAGCAUUCAGAGGCCAAAGCUUGACACAGAGUGGCUCUAACAAGUCACAUGUUCCUAGGGGGCAUGCUGCUGUCCUUUUUCUCCUUCUCUAAGCUCUCCAGCUUUACUACCUCUGAGGUGUGAAGAGGAGGACUUGGAAACUGAAUGUGGGAUCUGUACUUUGCUGAGAACUAUGCAGAAUGAGACAUGUUGAGAGAAGGACAACAGUGAUGAAUGGGGACAUCCUGUUGAGCAAAAAGCAAGAGAACUUGCCACAGCAUUUAGUUGUCAUCUUGGCUGUGAGCAAGGGUGCCCUUGUUCCUCCCACACCAAAAGUUUCAAGCCCUAAGUCAUCCUUUGACAUCACCUGCUUUGCCUCAGGUAGCACUGCAAUCCUGUAGCUUAUAGUGAGUACCCCUUCCCCUGCCAGGACCUGCUGGUUUGGAGACACUGGCUGACUUGGCUCUGCCUGUAAGACCUGUGCCCACCAUGGCCCAUGGAAGUGGAGAAGGGAGGGGAGUGCCAGAGGAAAAGCUACAAUGCACCCUGACGGCAAAGUGAGCGUGCCAGUGAACGGUCAUUGCACAAUGCUGGAGCAAAAUGGAACAGAAACCCACCUCUUUGGAAAGGAGCAGCAGCCUCAAAAGACUCAGUGUUUGGCCGUGAUUUUCCCAUAGAUGUGUUUUUACAGCUGUGGUUAAUGUGUGACUAAUCCUCACUGUGCAGCAACCACACAACCACUCCUUGGAGCGGCGCGAGCGCGCGGCGGCUUUGGGUCGGAAGUAGAGAUGGUAACAUCUGAAAAGAAUCCUUAAAACUGACAACACUUCUGAGCAGGGCUCUAAUCAUUUAUGUCAUGCCUGAGAACCUUGCAGCCAGGCUCCAGUAUAUAUCAUAUGUGUAACAAAAAAGACAAACCAUCUCCCAAGAACAAUAAACAGUUCAAAGGCUUGUGUUCUCAGGCAGCUGCUAUCAAACAUUAACUGCACUAUUUGAGCAGGAAGAGCAGACUCAACCAGCAUUUUCAAGAGUAUUUGCAAACUCUCUUUUCCUCCAGUAGUACACUAAUAGCAAUAAUAAUAAUAAUAAUAAAGUCACAUUUUCAGUCUGAACAAAAGGUAGGUAAUAUUGCUCUGAAACAGCCAUAUUAAUAUUUUUCCCUGUGCCACCCUGAGAACAAUAAAACUCCUAGAAGUUCUUGAACCAUUGCUCUGUGUUAUGAAGACUGAACUGUUUCAUCAAGUUGUUCAUAAAGGCAACUUGAGGCCUGGAUAUUUUGAAUGAGAAAUGACA